rnacentral:ncRNA from 1 species
UCACGUUCAGGGCAAACCAAACGAAAGUUUGGGACGCAAAGCUACGGGUCUAAGGUGCAGAAAAGCGCUAUGAUCGCCGGGUUGCCGUG